rnacentral:other from 1 species
CUCUUCCUGCGGGGCCCGUGAUGGGCUCUUUUAAACCCACAUUUUUAAUACGGGACGCUGACUCACAGCGCAGAUUGCAGGCCUCCCGCUCCGCGCGUACACGCCGGACGCGGAAGUUGGAAGCAGAGAAGCGCUGUGGAGGCGACCCACCUGCCUUUCGUGCAGGUUUUAAACGGGUUCACACGACCGCUGCGGGACGCCC